ensembl:lncRNA
GAUUCCUCCCCGUCCUAUUCUCUCUCUUGGUUGCUCCACUCAAGCCCCAGAGGCCACCGUGCUCUGCCUGGAGCACACCAGGCAUCCCCUGAUUGAGAGCUUUUGUGGGGAUCAUUCCCACUGCUUAGAAUAUUUUUCCUCUAUUUAUCUGUAUGGCUUCUCCUUCAAAUCUUUGGUCAAAUUUCACCUUUGAGUGAGACUCACACUAUCUACCCAAUUAAAAUGGCCACUGCCAGUGUCUCCUUCCCCUGCACUUUUCAUCCUUUUUAUUCUCCGUGAUGCAUCUAUAGCACUCAUCACCUUCAAAGGCACUUAUCUAAUGUUUAAGUAUGUAUUGUCUGUUUCCCUCACUAGAAUAUAACGCACAAAUACAAGGAUUUUGUGUGUUUUGUUCCUCGAUGGAUCUCAAGUACUUAGAUAAGUGCCUGAUACAUAGUAGACACUGAGAAAAUAUUUGUUGAAUGAAUGAAUAAGUGAAAAGCAGAGACAUUUAAAUGAAGACUGAACAGAGCCUCCCCUAAACUUUCUCCCACUCUCUGCUACUUCUUCCAGCAUUAAAAAAAAAAAACAGGCAGAACAUGAACUGCUCAACCCUCAAACAGGACUUGGGGGAAAGAAAACAAUCUUAGUCCUAGAUACAAAGGGAAGAAAGUCAAGAAAUCACUCACAUUAUAUCAGAGGAAAGAGAAUGCCAGGAAGGUACCAGGGAAGAGUAAUUAAGAUGAAAAGAAACAGAACAGUAACCUGUAAACAUACCAAGAAAAAAUAAGGUAAUGUAAGAAAUUUUUCAUGCAAAAGACAAACAGAGCACCAUAUAGAUAAAAAUACAACUCAGAGAACAGAAGGAAAUCCCUCAGAGCUUCUUUUUGCUGUAAAACAAGUUACUGAAAACAUGAAUUCAAUAAAACAAGAGUUUGGAAUCAUGCUUCUGGCAAUGAUGGACUAUUUUGUAGUAGACCAAUUCUCCUGCUGAGAAGGUGUAGACUAGCAGAGCAGAUUAACAUGCAUGCAUACACACACACACACACACACACCCCCAUCUGAAGGCAUCAGACAGCUACCAAGGCAGUGAGUACUUGAGAAGGCAGAGAGAAGAGAGAUAGCUGAGACUGACAUUUGGCACCAUUAUUUCCCCUCCAAGCUUUUUGGUUAAGAGGUGACUGCAAGGCUAGGAAGUUGAGGAUAAAUCUAAAGCUUAGGGAGAAAAAGGCUAAGCAGAACUUCUGUAAGUCUCAUGGGGCUGGGAUAAAACAAUCAAACUUCAGACCCACAGAAGAGGAAGAAACCUGGUAAGAAACACCUUGAACAUUCAGCUGGGAUCACCAAAAGCAUAGAUACGCCAAAUAAGGAUAACUCAUAAAUUGCCCAGCCUUUACAAAAAUAAAAAUAAAAAAGGUUUGAAUGAGCUCAAUCUCUAUUGGGAUUAAGAAGAUCUUUAUUCCUAUUUGCUCCCUAAAAGUAAAUCUUAUUCAGAGUAAGAUAUCAUUGUUUAGAGCUUCAAUUUAUCUUGACAAUUUAUUGCAUGCAAUGUCUGAUAGUCAAUCAAAAAUAACCUGGCAUGCAAAAAAAAAAAAAAAAAAAAAAAAAAAA